UACGGGGGGGGCAAGCGUUGUUCGGAAUUACUGGGCGUAAAGGGCUCGUAGGCGGCCAACUAAGUCAGACGUGAAAUCCCUCAGCUUAACUGGGGAACUGCGUCCGAUACUGGAUGGCUUGAGUUUGGGAGAGGGAUGCGGAAUUCCAGGUGUAGCGGUGAAAUGCGUAGAUAUCUGGAGGAACACCGGUGGCGAAGGCGGCAUCCUGGACCAACACUGACACUGAGGAGCGAAAGCGUGGGUAGCGAACAGG
rnacentral:rRNA from 1 species